UUGUUGGUGGGGUUAGGUGAUGAACAAAUCAGAUUUGGUCUUAUUAUUCAUACAGAGCGGAUGAUGUUGAAAAUAUAAAGAAACCAGGAGGUUUUGGGUUUUCAACUUUUCAUUCCAGAAAAACAACAAGAAGAAAGAAAAAGAGAGAUUGAACCUAUUUUCUUUCCUGAAAAUUCUCACGAUUUGAAAGAAAUUCUCGCAGAAUCCGUUAAGGACAGAGAGUAUCGUCAUUGUAUGGAUACCAAUUCACCGUGCAAGGUGGUGUCAUCCAAGGAGCUGACUAGGGAGUCGCUUAUUGCCAUCUCCGAGUCCAUUCCUGAUCAGACCGAGUCCAUUCUUGAUCAGAGUCUGCCGACUAGGGAGUCACUUAUUGCCAUUUCUGACUCCAUUCCUGAAAACGGUUUCGCCUCGAAAAUUUCAUCUGAAGACUUCGCAAGACCUAAAAUUUCAUCAGAAGACUUCACGAGACCUAAUGGGAUUGUCGUGAAAGACGGUGAUGGGGCUGAUGGUUAUAGGUCUAAGCUGAUUUCAUUAUCUUACACACCGUCACCAGAUAGUUAAGGUUUUCCUGUUAUAGUUGGUCACAUUGAAGAUUAGCCACUUGAACUAACUCAUAAUCUACGUUGUUAUCAUGCUUGAACCGUUUAGGCAUACACUUGAUGUUUGGUUAUAAAGCUGGUCUUGGUGUAAACAAAGACAUAAAAAUAAAACUAAUCUACAAAUGUAUAGAUGUAUGAUCUUCUAUAGGACUUCCUUAGUAGAAAAUACAUCAGAUUUGUUUAACUACGAUCGAUUACUUUCCUUUGUUUGUAGCCUUUCAUGGAUGUUAAGCCUUUUCAAAUUUCUGGGUGA